GACGAGGGGUCCUAGCGUUGUUCGGAAUCAUUGGGCGUAAAGCGUAGGUAGGUGGCUACUUAAGUCAGGUGUGGAAUCCCCGGGCUCAACCCGGGAAGUGCAUUUGAUACUGAGUAGCUUGAGUAUGGGAGAGGAUAGUGGAAUUCCUGGUGUAGUGGUGAAAUACGUAGAUAUCAGGAGGAACACCGGUGGCGAAGGCGGCUAUCUGGCCCUAUACUGACGCUGAGCUACGAAAGCGUGGGGAUCAAACAGG
rnacentral:rRNA from 1 species